rnacentral:SRP_RNA from 1 species
AUGCUGGGUAGGACUGAAGGGUUAGGCCCCCUCUGUAACCGGCAGCAUGGUCUAUAGCCGGGGUUAGUAACCCAAGGCCAGGUCUCCCAAGCUUUCAUAAGCCCCUUUGGUGUGACUAUGAAGCUCUGUCCCACGGGAUCGGCGUGGAUGGAGGCCCCUUCGGAGGAAGGGGGGAAACCACUGAACUAGGCGAAACAGGCUAGGCCCGGAAGGGAGCAGCCUAAGUCUAGGCGUCCGGUGCUUGUGGAUCAACGGGGUGGAGAACCGCCAAAAGGAAACUGUGAAAGUAAAGAAGGUCGAACCUUGGGAGCCAGCAU